AGCUAAAGAGAGUAUUACUCUUCGUCCGGGGUAUGAACCCAACAACCUACUUAGUUUACUUUAGC
rnacentral:tRNA from 1 species